UACGGAGGGUGCAAGCGUUAUCCGGAUUUACUGGGUUUAAAGGGUGCGUAGGUGGAUUUGUAAGUCAGAGGUGAAAUCUCCGAGCUUAACUCGGAAACUGCCUUUGAUACUAUAAGUCUUGAAUUAUCUGGAGGUAAGCGGAAUAUGUCAUGUAGCUGUGAAAUGCUUAGAUAUGACAUAGAACACCAAUUGCGAAGGCAACUUACUACAGAACGAUUGACACUGAGGCACGAAAGCGUGUGGAUCAAACAGG
rnacentral:rRNA from 1 species